CAAAUAGUUAUUCGUUAUCAAGUGGAUCGUGGCCAUAUAGUCAUUCCCAAAUCAGUCACCAAGUCACGAAUUGCUCAAAACAUGGAUAUAUUUGACUUUAAACUUUCACCUGAAGAUAUUGCUUAUAUUGAUACUUUUGAUUGCAACGGAAGAAUUUGUCCAAUGGAUGCAUUUGCCAGCCCCUAUUAUCCGUUCUAUAUUCCAUUCUAAGUAAUCAAAAUGAACAAGUGAGACUAUAAUAUAUCUGCGUGUUUCUUUUAUUAAACUUCUUGUAUUAAAAUAUACUUUUGAAAAUUUUA